rnacentral:tRNA from 1 species
UCCCUGAUGGUCUAGCAGCUAAGACUCCGCACUCUCUCUGUAAAGGGCCUGGGUUCAAUUCCUGGUCAGGGAA